rnacentral:rRNA from 1 species
AGUGAACGCUGGCGGUAGGCCUAACACAUGCAAGUCGAACGGCAGCACAGUAAGAGCUUGCUCUUACGGGUGGCGAGUGGCGGACGGGUGAGGAAUACAUCGGAAUCUACUUUUUCGUGGGGGAUAACGUAGGGAAACUUACGCUAAUACCGCAUACGACCUACGGGUGAAAGCAGGGGAUCUUCGGACCUUGCGCGACUGAAUGAGCCGAUGUCGGAUUAGCUAGUUGGCGGGGUAAAGGCCCACCAAGGCGACGAUCCGUAGCUGAUCUGAGAGGAUGAUCAGCCACACUGGAACUGAGACACGGUCCAGACUCCUACGGGAGGCAGCAGUGGGGAAUAUUGGACAAUGGGCGCAAGCCUGAUCCAGCCAUGCCGCGUGGGUGAAGAAGGCCUUCGGGUUGUAAAGCCCUUUUGUUGGGAAAGAAAAGCAGCAGGUUAAUACCCCGCUGUUCUGACGGUACCCAAAGAAUAAGCACCGGCUAACUUCGUG